rnacentral:rRNA from 1 species
CGAGCAUUCCUUGUCCGAAAGGGCCGGGUAAUCUUGGAAUUGUAUGUCGUGAUACGGAUAGAUUAUUGCACUUAUCAAUCUUGAUCGAGGAAUUCCUAGUAAAUGCGAGUCAUCAGCUCGCGUUGAUUACGUCCCUGCCCUUUGUACACACCGCCCGUCGCACCUACCGAUUGAAUGAUUCGGUGAAACUUUCGGACUGACGUGAAGGGGCCCUCGGGCAACUUCUUGUUGGGAAAUAUUUAAACCUCACCAUUUAGAGGAAGGGGAAGUCGUAACAAGGUUUCCGUAGGUGAACCUGCGGAAGGAUCAUUACCA